rnacentral:rRNA from 1 species
UACGAAGGGGGCUAGCGUUGCUCGGAAUCACUGGGCGUAAAGGGUGCGUAGGCGGGUCUUUAAGUCAGGGGCGAAAUCCUGGAGCUCAACUCCAGAACUGCCUUUGAUACUGGCGAUCUCGAGUCCGGGAGAGGUGAGUGGAACUGCGAGUGUAGAGGUGAAAUUCGUAGAUAUUCGCAAGAACACCAGUGGCGAAGGCGGCUCACUGGCCCGGUACUGACGCUGAGGUGCGAAAGCGUGGGGAGCAAACAGG